ACUCUAGAGAUAGAGCCUUCCCCUUCGGGGGACAAAGUGACAGGUGGUGCAUGGUUGUCGUCAGCUCGUGUCGUGAGAUGUUGGGUUAAGUCCCGCAACGAGCGCAACCCUUAAGCUUAGUUGCCAUCAUUAAGUUGGGCACUCUAAGUUGACUGCCGGUGACAAACCGGAGGAAGGUGGGGAUGACGUCAAAUCAUCAUGCCCCUUAUGAUUUGGGCUACACACGUGCUACAAUGGACAAUACAAAGGGCAGCGAAACCGCGAGGUCAAGCAAAUCCCAUAAAGUUGUUCUCAGUUCGGAUUGUAGUCUGCAACUCGACUACAUGAAGCUGGAAUCGCUAGUAAUCGUAGAUCAGCAUGCUACGGUGAAUACGUUCCCGGGUCUUGUACACACCGCCCGUCACACCA
rnacentral:rRNA from 1 species